UACAGAGGUCUCAAGCGUUUGUUCGGAUUCAUUGGGCGUAAAGGGUGUGUAGGUGGCGCCGUAAGUCGGGUGUGAAAUUUCGGAGCUUAACUCCGAAACUGCAUUCGAUACUGCGGUGCUUGAGGACUGGAGAGGAGACUGGAAUUCAUGGUGUAGCAGUGAAAUGCGUAGAGAUCAUGAGGAAGACCAGUGGCGAAGGCGGGUCUCUGGACAGUUCCUGACACUGAGACACGAAGGCCAGGGGAGCAAACGGG
rnacentral:rRNA from 1 species